rnacentral:rRNA from 1 species
GAUGAACGCUGGCGGCGUGCCUAAUACAUGCAAGUCGAGCGAACGGACGAGAAGCUUGCUUCUCUGAUGUUAGCGGCGGACGGGUGAGUAACACGUGGAUAACCUACCUAUAAGACUGGGAUAACUUCGGGAAACCGGAGCUAAUACCGGAUAAUAUUUUGAACCGCAUGGUUCAAAAGUGAAAGACGGUCUUGCUGUCACUUAUAGAUGGAUCCGCGCUGCAUUAGCUAGUUGGUAAGGUAACGGCUUACCAAGGCAACGAUGCAUAGCCGACCUGAGAGGGUGAUCGGCCACACUGGAACUGAGACACGGUCCAGACUCCUACGGGAGGCAGAAGUAGGGAAUCUUCCGCGAUGGGCGAAAGCCUGACGGAGCAACGCCGCGUGAGUGAUGAAGGUCUUCGGAUCGUAAAACUCUGUUAUUAGGGAAGAACAUAUGUGUAAGUAACUGUGCACAUCUUGACGGUACCUAAUCAGAAAGCCACGGCUAACUACGUG